GCCUGAGGUACACGCGGUGCCCUAGUUGAGAUCUUGCAGUGGGUGCGAUUGAUUCCAAUCCGUGUCUCCUCAAGUUGGAUCGGAUUGGGCGACACCUCCUGGAGGCAACCGAUCGAGAGGUAUCCGGUUGGUGGACAGCAGCUGGAUUAGGGCAGUGAGGUGAGGUGCUGUUUUGGUGGAGUAUUUUCUUGAUUCCGGCCACCACAUCCCUGUCAACAAAUUGGCACAUCUGAGGCAAGUGGUCUUCCUGUUGAUGAUGUCUUAAUCCGGUCCAGUGAGGAGGAAUUCCAGUAUCUUGCUGUGGUGUUCUUUGAUCCAGUGAUAAUACCUUGUGUGGAUCAACAGAAGG